rnacentral:lncRNA from 13 species
CACAGAUAAUAUACAGGCAAUAACAAGCAAUAACAGGUAAUAACAGGCAAUAACAGGCAAUAACAGGUAAUAACAGGCAAUAAACAGGCAAUAUCAGGUCAUAAACAGACAAUAACAGGUAAGACACAGAUAAUUUACAGGCAAUAACAGGUAAUAACAGGUAAUAACAGGUAAGACACACAUAAUUACAGGCAAUAAGAGGCAAUAACAGGUAAUACAGGCAAUAACAGGUAAUAA